rnacentral:piRNA from 1 species
UCAACCUAAUUUCUGUUUCAG